CCCUUAUUUAGUGUUUUCAGUUGCUGUUACUACCUAAUUAUAGGUGACACAGAAUGUCUUUUGUGUUUGUAUUAAAAAGGACAAUUGAUUCCAGAGAAAGCGCACCCUUGGAUUCUUGCACUGAGGUAGUCAAACACCAAAAAAAGAACACAGCAAACUGGACAGUGGCAAGAGUCACCAGAAAGAAGACAACCAUUUCAAGGUACAGAAGUUUAUUGCCAAUCUGACAAUCAUUUCUAGUCCACAACCUCCAAGUGCUAAUUGUAGACUUGGGGGCUG
rnacentral:lncRNA from 1 species